UAAAUGUGUGGCAGUAUCGAGUAAAUUAAGCUUAUACGAUGACACCCUGGUGGAUAGUGGGCAAUUCUUUUGGUGGUGUCAUAGACAUAUAUACCCUGGGCCAUGUGAUUUGUAUGACUCAGGAUCUGCUACCCAUGUGAAUGCUUGCUUCUGCGGUUGUUGUAACUUCCAUACUCAUCAUCAUCACUUCUCUGCUGAUUAUACAUAUUUAUGGCCCAUAGAAGAACAACAUUCACUAUUCCGUACUCUACCAAUUAAUAUUGCCAAAUCAACAAAUACCUGCUCUUCAAAUCACUACCAACCCAUCUAAUUUCUUGCCACUUUCUUC
rnacentral:lncRNA from 1 species